rnacentral:rRNA from 1 species
CCUACAGGAGGCAGCAGUGGGGAAUCUUGCACAAUGGAGGAAACUCUGAUGCAGCGAUGCCGCGUGAGUGAAGAAGGCCUUUGGGUUGUAAAGCUCUUUUGUAGGGGAAGAUAAUGACUGUACCCUAAGAAUAAGGUCCGGCUAACUUCGUGCCAGCAGCCGCGGUAAUACGAAGGGACCUAGCGUAGUUCGGAAUUACUGGGCGUAAAGCGCGCGUAGGCCGUUGAGUUAGUUAAUUGUGAAAUCCCAAAGCUUAACUUUGGAACUGCAAUUAAAACUACUCGACUAGAGUUUGAUAGAGGAAAGCGGAAUACAUAGUGUAGAGGUGAAAUUCGUAGAUAUUAUGUAGAACACCAGUUGCGAAGGCGGCUUUCUGGAUCAACACUGGCGCUGAGGCGCGAAAGUAUGGGUAGCAAAGAGGAUUAGAUACCCUCGUAGUCCAUACCAUAAACGAUGAUUGCUAGAUGUUGGAAAUUUAUUUUCAGUAUCGCANCUACGACAUAAGUACAUACCGCCGUCGGGUAGGUACGGACCGACCGAACGGUUAAAACGUUAACAAAUAGAAGUUAAGUACGGUCGUUGAGUACGUUGCCGAACGGACGACCGACCGAGGGGAGGUUAGG